GAGAUGGUGGCUGAGUGGUUAAAGCGGUAGACUUUAAAUCUAUUGGGUAUCCGUCGUCGGUUCGAGUCCGAUCCAUCUCACCA
rnacentral:tRNA from 1 species